UCAGACUGCAGGCUGCAACUCGCCUGCACGAAGUCGGAAUUGCUAGUAAUCGUAGGUCAGCAUACUACGGUGAAUACGUUCCCGGGCCUUGUACACACCGCCCGUCAAACCAUGAGAGUUGGCAACACCCGAAGUCGGUAGUCUAACCGCAAGGAGGACGCCGCCGAAGGUGGGGUUGAUGAUUAGGGUUAAGUCGUAACAAGGUACC
rnacentral:rRNA from 1 species